rnacentral:rRNA from 1 species
GACGAACGCUGGCGGCGUGCUUAACACAUGCAAGUCGAACGGAAAGGCCCUGCUUGCAGGGUACUCGAGUGGCGAACGGGUGAGUAACACGUGGGUGAUCUGCCCUGCACUUCGGGAUAAGCCUGGGAAACUGGGUCUAAUACCGGAUAGGAGCCAUUUUUAGUGUGAUGGUUGGAAAGUUUUUUCGGUGUAGGAUGAGCUCGCGGCCUAUCAGCUUGUUGGUGGGGUAAUGGCCUACCAAGGCGGCGACGGGUAGCCGGCCUGAGAGGGUGGACGGCCACAUUGGGACUGAGAUACGGCCCAGACUCCUACGGGAGGCAGCAGUGGGGAAUAUUGCACAAUGGGCGCAAGCCUGAUGCAGCGACGCCGCGUGGGGGAUGACGGCCUUCGGGUUGUAAACUCCUUUCUCUAGGGACGAAGCUUUUUGUGACGGUACCUAGAUAAGAAGCACCGGCUAACUACGUG